CCUACGGGUGGCAGCAGUGGGGAAUAUUGCACAAUGGGGGAAACCCUGAUGCAGCGACGCCGCGUGAGUGAAGAAGUAUUUCGGUAUGUAAAGCCCUAUCAGCAGGGAAGAAAAUGACGGUACCUGAUCAAGAAGCCCCGGCUAACUACGUGCCAGCAGCCGCGGUAAUACGGAGGGGGCAAGCGUUAUCCGGAUUUACUGGGUGUAAAGGGAGCGUUGUUGGCAGCACAAGUCUGGAGGGAAAUGCCGGGGCUUAACCCCGGAACUGCUGUGGAAACUGUGCAGCUAGAGUGCAGGAGAGGAAAGUGGAAUUCCUGGUGUAGCGGUGAAAUGCGUAGAUAUUAGGAAGAACACCAGUGGCGAAGGCGGCUUACUGGACUGUAACUGACGUUGAGGCUCGAAAGCGUGGGGAGCGAACAGGAUUAGAUACCCCUGUAGUC
rnacentral:rRNA from 1 species